rnacentral:sRNA from 1 species
CAUUCAAGAUGCAACACCAAAGUAUUUCCUCUCCGAAGCCCUCCCUCAUGCUUGGGGCAAUUAGUCAUCCCUUCCUGCGCUCCCACAGCACCUUGGCCGAGGCCCUAUCUAUCAAUUUACUUCCCAACCCGUUUGGUAACGUCAUGUCUAUCCACCACGCCCCCGACUCAGUUUCUCCCUGGGGCCGGGCAGACAUAGGCUAGGAGAAUGCUGGCAGAAGAUGCGGAGGCAGCAGCAGGGUGCGGCAGGGGGGAACUUCCCAGUGGGGGGCUCCUCCCCGGAGGACGUGUCCCCCACCAGGACUCUGGCUAUGCGCCCUCCCCCAGGUACCUGAGGCGGUUCCGGGAGAUGAAGCCGCGGGUCCUUCAGCGCUGGAGCCGCCAAAUCCUGCGGGGACUUCAUUUCCUACACUCCCGGGUUCCUCCCAUCCUGCACCGGGAUCUCAAGUGCGACAAUGUCUUUAUCACGGGCCCUACUGGCUCUGUCAAAAUCGGGGACCUGGGCCUGGCCACGCUCAAGCGCGCCUCCUUUGCCAAGAGUGUCAUCGGGACCCCGGAAUUCAUGGCCCCCGAGAUGUAC